rnacentral:rRNA from 1 species
GGGGAAAAAUUAAUAAUAUAAAUUUAAUAAAAAAAUUUUUAAUAUAUUAUAUUUAAUGGGGGUUAAAGUAUAAUUAAUAGAAAAAAAUUAAAAAAUUUAUAGUGAAGAAGUAUUGUGUAAGAAAUUUGAAAUAAGUGAAAAUUAAAUUUUAUUAAAGUAAAUUUAAUUUAUUGUAUCUUGUGUAUCAGAGUUUAUUAAUAAAUAUUUAUAGUUAUGAAUUUCUCGAAUUUAAAAGAGUUAAUUAAUUAUAAAAGUUAGUGUAGUAAAAUUAUUUUAAAUAAUUAAUUUGAAAUGAAAUGUUAAUCGUUUUUAAAUAUAUCUAGUUUUUUCAGAAAAAAAUUUAAUUUUAAAUAUAAAAAAAAAUAAUUUUUUUUAUAAAAUUAUUUUUUUUUUAUAUUAAAUAUUUUAAGGGAUAAGCUUUAAAAUAAAUUUUUAUAAAAUAAAUUUAAAAUUUAAAAUUUUUAGAAUUUAUAUUGUUAAUAAAUUAUAUUUUUUUAUAAAUAAUUUUAUAUUCAUCAAUAAUAUUAAGAAAAUUUAAUUAAAAUUUAAAUUUAUAUGAAAAAAAAAUUUUUAAUAAAAAAAAAUUAAUUAUAAUGAUAAAAUUAGUAUAUAAAGUUAAUAAUUAAAAUUAAUUAAAUUUAUAAUAAUUUUAUAAAAGGAAUUCGGCAAAUAUAUAUAUUCACUUGUUUAUCAAAAACAUGUCUUUUUGAAAUAUAAUUUAAAGUCUAAUCUGCCCACUGAUUAAGUAUUAAAGGGCUGCAGUAUUUUGACUGUACAAAGGUAGCAUAAUAAAUAGUCUUUUAAUUGGAGACUUGUAUGAAAGAUUUGAUGAAAUAUAAACUGUCUCUUAAAAAAUUAUAUAAUUUAAUUUUUUAGUUAAAAAGCUAAAAUAUUUUUAAAAGACGAGAAGACCCUAUAGAGUUUAAUAAUUUAUAUUUUUAAAAUUUUUUAUUAGUGUUUAAAUUAAAAAAGUAAAAAUUAUUUUAUUGGGGUGAUAGAAAAAUUUAAAAAACUUUUUUUAAAAAAUUUACAUUAAUAUAUGAAUAAAUGAUCCGUAAUUUACGAUUAAAAGAAAAAAUUACCUUAGGGAUAACAGCGUAAUUUUUUUUUUUAGUUCAAAUAAGAAAAAAAGUUUGCGACCUCGAUGUUGGAUUAAGAUAAAAUUUAAAUGCAAAAGUUUAAAAAUUUUGAUCUGUUCGAUCAUUAAAAUCUUACAUGAUCUGAGUUCAAACCGGUGUAAGCCAGGUUGGUUUCUAUCUUUAAAAAAAGAAAAUGCUUUAGUACGAAAGGAUUAAGUAUUUAAAAUAAUUUUAAUAGAAGAAUUUUAUUAAAUUAAUUAUAG